AUACGGAGGAUCCGAGCGUUAUCCGGAUUUAUUGGGUUUAAAGGGUGCGCAGGCGGCCAUUUAAGUCAGCGGUUAAAUCGUGGGGCUCAACCCCAUUCUGCCGUUGAUACUGGGUGGCUUGAUUGCGGUCGAGGUUGGCGGAAUUCGUUGUGUAGCGGUGAAAUGCAUAGAUAUGACGAAGAACACCGAUUGCGUAGGCAGCUGACCAGACCGGAAAUGACGCUCAUGCACGAAAGUGCGGGGAUCGAACAGGAUUAGAUACCCUGGUAGUCCGCACAGUAAACGAUGAAUACUUGUUUUCGGCGAUAUAAUGUCGGAGGCAAAGCGAAAGCGAUAAGUAUUCCACCUGGGGAGUACGCCGGCAACGGUGAAACUCAAAGGAAUUGACGGGG
rnacentral:rRNA from 1 species